ACCAAGAAGCAGCAGCGCGCCAUCCCAUCUCUCCAUAUUCAAUUUCCUCCCUCUCCAAUCCCACCAUCAAAUUCAAUCACCACUUCCUUCCCCCUAAAAACACACACACCUCUCUCCACCAUUGACCACCCAUGGGCCCACCGGAAUCCUCCCACUCCGCCGCCGAGAACCUCAUCCUCCGCUGGGACUCCUCCGCCUCCUCCUCCGACUCCCGCGACAAGAUGAUCUUCUCCUCCUCCGACCGCCUCGAAAUCGACCGCUACCUCGACGCCGUCGACGAGCUCCAGAAAUCCAUGUCCUCCGCCUCCCUCUCCUCCUCCUCCCCCCUCCAGAUCGCCAUGGCCCGCCUCGAAGACGAGUUCCGCUCCAUCCUCCUCUCCCACACCUCCCCCAUCCAAACCGACUCCCUCGCCGAGUCGACUCACUUCGAGUUCAACUCGACCGAGUUUGACGAGUCCGAGAUCAUGGAGAGGAGCUAUGAAGAGGAAGAUGAAAACGAGAAGCAAUUCAGCCACCAGGAGAGCACCGCAAGCAGCUACUGCUACAAGUCCACCAGCAGCAUCCGCGAAAUAGAUCUCAUCCCCGCCGCCGCCGCCUACGACCUCCGCUGCAUCGCCGAGCGGAUGAUCGCCGCCGGCUACCUCCGCGAGUGCAUCCAGGUCUACGCCAGCGUCCGCAAAUCCGCCGUCGACGCCAGCCUCAAGCGCCUCAGCGUCGAGAAGCUCAGCAUCGGCGACAUCCAGAAGCUCGAGUGGGAGGCGCUCGAGACGAAGAUCCGCCGCUGGAUCCGCGCCGCCAGGAUCUCCGUCCGCGUCCUCUUCGCCAGCGAGCGCCGCCUCUGCGAGCAGAUUUUCGAAGAUUCCGGAACCCCCGGCGCCGACGACACCUGCUUCAUGGAAACAAUCAAAGGUCCUGCGAUUCAGCUCUUCAAUUUCGCCGAAGCGAUUAGUAUUAGCAAGCGAUCGCCUGAGAAACUGUUUAAGAUACUUGAUAUGCACGAUGCCUUAUCCGAUUUGAUGCCUGAUAUUGAUUCCGUUUUCGAUUCGAAAUCUAGCGAGUCAAUUAGGGUUCAAGCCGUCGAGAUACUCUCUAGGCUAGCCGAGGCUGCCCGAGGGAUACUAUCGGAAUUCGAGAGCGCUAUCCUUCGCGAGCCCUCUCGAAUUCCAGUUCCCGGCGGUACGAUUCACCCGUUGACUAGAUAUGUGAUGAAUUACAUAAGCUUGAUUUCGGAUUAUAAGCAGACCUUGAUUGAAUUGAUUGUGUCGAAGCCCUUCACCGGUCCAAGGUACUCGAGUGAUCCCAAUGUUCCGGAUAUGGAUUUCUCCGAGUACGAAGGCCAGGCUUCGACGCUGGCGCUUCAUUUGAUUUGGAUCAUUGGGAUUUUGCAGUUCAAUUUGGAUGGGAAGUCUAAGCACUAUAAGGAUACUUCAUUAGCUCAUCUGUUUAUGAUGAAUAACGUUCACUACAUUGUGCAAAAGAUCAAGGGUUCGCCCGAGUUGAGGGAAAUGAUCGGGGAUGAUUACUUGAGGAAGAUGACGGGGAAGUUCCGGUUCUCUGCAACUAAUUACCAACGGGCAACGUGGGUGAGAGUGUUGUAUUGCUUGAGAGACGAGGGUUUGCACGUCAGUGGGAGUUUUUCCUCCGGUGUGUCAAAGAGUGCUCUGAGAGAGAGGUUUAAGGCUUUCAAUUCCAUGUUUGAGGAGGUGCAUAGAACUCAGGCGACGUGGUUGAUACCUGAAAUCCAGCUCCGGGAGGAGCUGAGGAUUUCCAUAUCGGAGAAGCUAAUCCCUGCGUAUAGAUCGUUUCUUGGGAGGUUCAGAAGUCAUAUUGAGAGUGGGAGGCACCCCGAGAAUUACAUCAAAUACUCAGUCGAGGAUCUUGAAAACGCGGUCUUGGACUUCUUCGAGGGGUCCCCCGUGUCACAGCAUUUGAGGAAGCGAUCUGAGUGACCCGAUUGGAACUACUUGCUACAUAGAUUGUAGGACGACAUUCUUUGAAUUUUUGGUGGAGUGUUAUGGGAUGAGGCGACCGUAUUGUCUCCAAAGAUGCUGUUUUCGGACUCUUCAUAGCCUCCUCUCAAAUGCUUCUGCCCUAAGCCUGGUCCCUCGUGAUGACAUCUACGUUGGUCGAGUUUUCUGUACGGAUGACAUGUACGAUAUCAUUUGUUCACAGUCAAGAUAGAAGCCUAAUCUCUCAAGUGAUUGUAUCCGUGGUGGGCCCAUGCCCGUUGGCUGUCGUUUUGUUUUGAUUGUUGAAUGUGUCGAUGCAUGUCAUGUGUGUAUGUUGGUCGGGUUUUCUUUAAAGAUGACCUAUAUGAUCUCUCGAGUUUUCUAUAGGGAUGACCGAUACGACCUCAUAAGUUCAGACUCGAGAUAUAAGCCUGGUCUGGGUGGGCCCACGCCCGCGCUGGUGGAAGAAAUGGCUUAGUCUAACCGUGGGGCAUAAGUUCAAUUGUUUUGUAGUACUAUAAAACUUUGAGCGAUUAUGAUGUUUCAUCAGCCAUUUGAAU